GUCACCACCCCUGACUCGGAAACCGAGGCCACUUCGAAGCCGCGAGGCGGGUUCCGCCGGAAGGGCCAGUGUGGGCGCUGACCGCGCUUCGGGCAGAGUGGCAGAUGCGGCCCCUGGGUGAUGCGCACCGAAGUCAUGUGAGGGGUUGAUUGGUUGUGCGGCACCACUGUUUACCCACUUGUGUUUUCUUAAUUGUUGCGUACUACUGCCUUUCCACAACUUUAUUUCAGAAUGAAAGCAUAUAUCAAAUUACCUGUGCACAGCAGAAAGAUAACAGCUUCCCCACCCAGUGAGCCAUUCAACACCCAGGCUACAAACUGUAGAUCACUUUAUUGUCUACACCCUCGGAAUCCUGUCUAGCCGUCUGUUGUAUAUUUUAAACAUGACGGUGCAGUGCCUGCUAUAUGACAAACGUUGGUGAUCCAGAUGAGAAAGAGGAAACAGCUAUGCAGGCAGUCCUUUAGAAGGUUUGACUAUAUCGAGGCUAAAGAGCUAGGGCAGCUGCUAGAGCGGUACCUGGUGCGGAGAGGUUAGCUUUCACAAGCGAAAAAUUAGAGGAGGCAAAUACCAUGGGAAUGAGCCACUCUAGUGAGAGAAAUAAGAGGAGAAGGUGGAAUGGAGAGUGCUUUAGGAAGGAUACUUUCUUCAUUGUGAUUACAGAGAAUGAGGAAAGGUAGAUAAAGGACGGAUACAGAGAGGUGGAUGUUUCUAGCAGGAAGGUGAAAGAGUUCCUUUCUGUUGGUUUCUGUUUUGCUUCAGAUAGAGCUUGGUUACCUGCUGAAGGGUGGAAGAGAAGUGGCAGGUGUUUAAAAAAAAAUCUGCUAAGGAUAACUUGAGAGAGCUGACUGAGGAAGAAGUAUUGCAAUAUUCAAGGCCCAGUGGCUUGGAGAAGACCACUGUUGGAACCUACAUUGCUAUUCCCACUAUAGUGGCCAGCCCCACCCAGCCUGCUCUCAAACAUGCUGUCAAACAAUUGUUAAUUCUGGCCUUUUUGUCAGAAAUGACCAAUCUUAAGUCUGUCACAUUCAGGGAUCCUUUCAGAGCCUAAUGACAGUUAUGUGGAAUUCUAGAAGCAAAUAUUUGUCAAAAGAUUUCACAGACAUACACGCUAUUCACUAUCAAAUGCAUUGCCUGAACGACAUUUACGUACACAUAUAAUCCACAUAACUUUCAUCCAUUUGCCUGUAGGAGAAUCUUCCAGGGCCCCAGAGCAGUGCUUGAGGACUUAUUACAGAUCCUUUGACAUCUCUACUAGGCUGCACUUUCACAAAAGGAUUCUUAAUUCUGCCAACAACCACAUGAGUUUGGAAGAAUACCCAGAACUACAGAAGGGAGCACAGCUUGGCUGACACCUUGAUUUCAGCCUGGUGAGAACCUGAGCAGAGAACCCAGCUGAGCCCAUGCCAGGACUUCUGACUUACAGAACUACGAGAUAAUAAAUAUGUUAUUUUAAGUCACUUCAUUUCUGGUAAUUCGUUUUUGCAUCAAAUGCAAAUGUUUUUGCAUGGAAUAAAGUGUGUAUUCAAAUACAGUCAUAUGGAUACCAAAACUUGAUGUAGUUUUAAUAGCAGAAACCAAAUGAUCAAUUAUCCAUAACUUCAAAGAUUAAUUCAACCUCAUGAAAAGAAACAACUAAUCAGAAGUUAAUACCUGCACAGACUAUUUGUUGUUCUCCCACUUUUGCAUAAAUUAGAUAAUUGAGACAAAGAUAUGGGCUUAUUUCUUUUGCUUAAGACUCACAUAUUUAUCUUUUCCUUAGAUGGAAUUAGUGUAACACAAAGAUGUUCCACUAUUUAUAUUCCUUCAAUUCUGUGUGUGUCUAUAUUCUAUAAUUAGUAUUUUCUCAUUUUCAACUGACAGAAAUAGUGCUUAUAGAAAAAAGAAUUAAAUUACAUGUGUCUCCCUAACAUUAAAUGUUUUUUCUCCUAAAUUUAUUUUUUUUUCCUUUUUUUUUUCUUUUUUUUGAGAUGGAGUCUCACUCCAUCACCCAGCCUGGAGUGCAGUGGUGCUAUCUCAGCUCACUGAAACCUCCGCCUCCCAGGUUCAAGCAAUUCUCCUGCCUCAGCCUCC
rnacentral:lncRNA from 10 species